UACGUAGGUGGCAAGCGUUGUCCGGAUUUACUGGGCGUAAAGGGCGCGUAGGCGGCCUGCUAAGUCGAACGUGAAAUCCCCGGGCUCAACCCGGGAACUGCGUCCGAUACUGGCAGGCUUGAAUCCGGGAGAGGGAUGCGGAAUUCUUGGUGUAGCGGUGAAAUGCGUAGAUAUCAAGAGGAACACCUGCGGCGAAGGCGGGUUGCUGGGCUGACACUGACGCUGAUGCGCGAAAGCCAGGGGAGCGAACGGG
rnacentral:rRNA from 1 species